UCAUCCUCGAAUCAAAUGUUA
rnacentral:piRNA from 1 species